CAGUCGCCGCGGUAAUACAGAGGGUGCGAGCGUUAAUCGGAUUUACUGGGCGUAAAGCGUGCGUAGGCGGCUUCUUAAGUCGGAUGUGAAAUCCCUGAGCUUAACUUAGGAAUUGCAUUAGAUACUGGGAAGCUAGAGUAUGGGAGAGGAUGGUAGAAUUCCAGGUGUAGCGGUGAAAUGCGUAGAGAUCUGGAGGAAUACCGAUGGCGAAGGCAGCCAUCUGGCCUAAUACUGACGCUGAGGUACGAAAGCAUGGGGAGCAAACAGGAUUAGAUACCCGAGUAGUCCCUGUCUCUUAUAC
rnacentral:rRNA from 1 species